CUCCAGGUGACGAGUCUCAAAUAGGACGAAACGCGCAUCCUGGAU
rnacentral:hammerhead_ribozyme from 1 species